CCUUGCCAGCCCGCUCAGAAACUCAAAGGAAGUUGACGGGGCCCGCACAAGCGGAGGAGCAUGUGGUUUAAUUCGAUGAUACGCGAGGAACCUUACCUGGGCUCGAACGUAAGAUGACCGUAGGUGAAAGCUUACAUCUCUUCGGAGCAUUUUACGAGGUGCUGCAUGGUUGUCGUCAGCUCGUGCCGUGAGGUGUCGGGUUAAGUCCCAUAACGAGCGCAACCCCUACCUUUAGUUGCCAUCAGGUUAAGCUGGGGACUCUAAAGGAACUGCCUACGCAAGUAGUGAGGAAGGCGGGGAUGACGUCAAAUCAGCACGGCCCUUACGUCCAGGGCUACACACGUGCUACAAUGGCCGAUACAGAGGGCAGCUACCUGGUGACAGGAUGCAAAUCUCCAAAGUCGGUCUCAGUUCGGAUCGGAGUCUGCAACCCGACUCCGUGAAGUUGGAUUCGCUAGUAAUCGCGCAUCAGCCAUGGCGCGGUGAAUACGUUCCCGGGCCUU
rnacentral:rRNA from 1 species